rnacentral:rRNA from 1 species
UGAUUCCCUCAGUAGUGGCGAAUGAACAGGGAUUAGCUCAAAACCGAAUCCGUUGGCUUUGCUAAUGGAAAUGUGGUGUUUGGGUUGCACGCCGAGGUUUGACUGAUUGUAUCAAGUCCACGUGAUUGUGGCUCUAGCCCAGAGAGGGUGCAAGGCCCGUAGAUACGAUUGGUUGGCUUCAUAGUGUGACCCUAGAGUCGGGUUGUUUGGAAAUGCAGCCUAAAGUGGUGGUAAACUCCAUCAAAAGCUAAAUACAACACAAGUCCGAUAGUGAACAAGUACCAUGAGGUAAAUUUGAAAAGAACUUUGAAGAGAGAGUUAAAUCAGUGCGUGAAACCGCUUAGAGGUAAGCGGGUAGAGCUGAAAGGGUUGUAGUGACUGAUGUCUUCUGGCAUGUUGUUGGGAUAGUUUUCAUCUUUCGGGAGGAUCUGUCUCAUCGUGUAGUGUCGGUUGGCUAUAUUUCCUAUGACUAAACAACGAUCAUCGAGUCUGUGGCCUAUUGCUGGGGAAGGUAGCUGCUUGCUCUCGGGUGAGUAGUGUUAUAGACCUGGCGAUGGAAUGCUGCGGGGUAUUGAUGGUGUGAUAUGCGAUGCCUAAUGCGCAUGUCGUGGUAUUAUAGGUCUUUGGGUGUAUGGGCAACUCGCAAGAGGUGUUUGUGCAAUCCUUGUCCUGCUGCGGCCUCUGCGUUUGUGUGUCAAUAAUCCGUUGUUACCAGUAGGUGUUCUACCCGGCCCGUCUUGAAACACGGACCAAGGAGUCAAACAUUUCGCGCGAGUCAUGGGGUCUUACGAAACCUAAAGGCGUAUUGAAAGAGAAGGUCUACUUCAUGUGGACUGAGGUGUGAUCAUUCGACUCUCGGGUUGAGUGCGCAGCACCGGCUUGUCUCUGACUUUUUAAGUGGGGCAAAGCUAGAGCGUGAAGUGUUGUACCCGAAAGAUGGUGAACUAUGCGUGGGUAGGUUGAAGCCAGAGGAAACUCUGGUGGAGGGCCGUAGCUGUUUUGACGUGCAAAUCAAUAGCAAAAUCCGCGUAUAGGGGCGAAAGACUAAUCGAACCAUCUAGUAGCUGGUUCCCUCCGAAGUUUCCCUCAGGAUAGCUGGCAUUUUGAGAGUUUUAUCCGGUAAAGCGAAUGAUUAGAAGUAUUGGGGACGAAAUGUCCUCAACUUAUUCUCAAACUUUAAAUGGGUAAGAUGUCGUUCUCUCUUAAUUGGAGUCUGACAUCGAAUCGGCAGUGCCUAGUGGGCCAUUUUUGGUAAGCAGAACUGGCGACGUGGGAUGAACCAAUAGCGGUGGUUAAGGUGUCUAAAUGCGCGCUCAUCACAUACCACAAAAGGUGUUAGUUGAUAUAGACAGCAGGACGGUGGCCAUGGAAGUUGGAAUCCGCUAAGGAGUGUGUAACAACUCACCUGCCGAAUCAACUAGCCCUGAAAAUGGAUGACGGUGGAGCGAGCUACCUAUACCGCGCCGUUAUCGCAAACUAUAAAAGGCGGUAACGUGUAGGAGGGCGACAUGGUUAGCAUUGAAGCUUAGGUCGUAAGACUGAGUGGAGCAGCCAUGUGUGAAGAUCUUGGUGGUAGUAGCAAGUAUUCAAGUGAGAACCUUGAAGACCAAUGUGGAGAAGGGUUCCAUGUGAACAGC